AUCAUUUAAACUUGUAUUGAUCAAACAAGUAUGUCUUUAGCUGUGGUUUGAAAGAAGAGACAGUAGUAGCAGUUUUGAUAGUAUCUGGAAGACCGAUCUA